rnacentral:rRNA from 1 species
GUUAGGAAUAUUGGACAAUGGACGCAAGUCUGAUCCAGCCAUGCCGCGUGAGUGAUGAAGGCCUUCGGGUUGUAAAGCUCUUUAGCCGAUGAUUAUAAUGACUGUAGUCGGAAAAUAAGCCCCGGCUAACUUCGUGCCAGCAGCCGCGGUAAUACGAAGGGGGCGAGCGUUAUUCGGAAUCACUGGGCGUAAAGCGUGCGUAGGCGGUUUUGUAAGUUGGGAGUGAAAGCCCAGGGCUCAACCCUGGAAUUGCUCUCAAAACUACAAGACUUGAAUUCGGGAGAGGAUAGCGGAAUUGUCAGUGUAGCAGUGAAAUGCGUAGAUAUUGACAGGAACACCAGUGGCGUAAGCGGCUAUCUGGACCGACAUUGACGCUGAGGCGCGAAAGCGUGGGGAUCAAACAGGAUUAGAUACCCGGGUAGUCC